AUGCAAAACUUAAACUUAACUAUAAAAAAAAAAAAAAAAACUACUGCAUCAAGGAUUAGUAAGUUUGAUCAGGAUAAUAUUAAAGAUGACAAAAAAAGUGAUAAAAGUGAUAAAAAUGAUAAAAGUGAUAAAAAUGAUAAAAAUGAUAAAAAUGAUAAAAAUGUUAAAAAUGAUAAAAAUUAUAAAAAUGAUAAAAAUUAUAAAAAUGAUAAAAAUGAUAAAAAAGAUUUGAAAAUACAAAAAAAAGAGUCCUUUGCUGAAUUUGAAGAAGGAAUAGCAGAAAAAAAUGACAAAUUGUUUGAUAGUGAUAGUACAAAACAAAAAAAAAUACAAAUAAGUAAAACUAAGGAUAAAACAGAAUAUUCAAAUAUUUAUAAUAAUAAAAAUAAUUAUGACCGUUCAUACAAUUUAUCACCAGUUUCUGAUUCAUUGUCGAGUUCACCACAAUAUAAAAAAAAAAUAAAUAAAAAUGAUAUAAAUGGAGACACAGUUAUUAAGGAAGUAAAAAAAAUAAAAAAAACAAACGAACGAUAUCAUGAACAUGAUUAUAGACACAAAUACGAAAAUGGAGAUCGAUAUGGAGAUGAAAAAAUAAAAAAAAAAAGAUUAACAAAUAAACAACAAUAUAAUAAUCAAUAUGGUAGGAAUGAAAAAAGAGAUGAUUUUAGUAACAGAAAAGAAAUAGAAAAUUUAAAAAAAAAUAAAAAAUAUUAUAAAAAUGAAAUUAACAAUAAUAACAAUAUUAAACAUAUCGAACACAAUAUAGAUGACCCUUAUUUCACACAAACAAAAAAUGAUUUAAAAUCUUACUACAGUUUCCCAUCUAAUGAUAAAGCGUCAAGAACUACAUCCAAUGAUUAUUCUAGUUUACAAAAAUCAAAUGAUUUCACAAAACAUAAUAGCUUAACAUUAUAUAAUAAACAAAAUACAACACCUGAACGAUUAAUACAUUUAUAUAAAGAAGAAAAAAAAAAAAAAUUAGACAUGUACACAUAUAUGACUUAUGAAAUAAUUACAUAUUUUCAAUUAAAAAAAACAUUCUUAUUAGAUAUGAGUGAACAUAUAAAUUUUUCUUAUUAUGCGAUAGGUCAUAUAAUAAAAGUAAAUGAUUUAUCCAAAUUAAUAAAUAUAUUAACAGUAAUAAAAAAUGAAGAAAAAAAUAAAAAAAAUAGUACUAUAAUAAAUAAUGUAGAUGACCCUAUAUUAAAUGAAAAAAAAAAUCGAACAAAACAAAUUUUUUUUAUAAUAAAUGUAAUUAAAUGUGAACGAUAUGUUUGUACAGAUAGAUAUACAAACAUAAAAUUUGAAAUAGUACCUUUUGAAAAAGUAACAGAUUUAAAAUUUUUUAAAAGAUUAAGAAAUAAUAUGAUAAAAAAUAAAAAAAUAACAAUAGACGAAUUAGAUAAAAAAAAAAAAUUUAGAAACAUAUAUAUGUGA
rnacentral:lncRNA from 1 species